rnacentral:rRNA from 1 species
UGGGGAUUAUUGCACAAUGGGCGCAAGCCUGAUGCAGCCAUGCCGCGUGUAUGAAGAAGGCCUUCGGGUUGUAAAGUACUUUCAGUCGGGAGGAAGGUGGUAAGGUUAAUAACCUUAUCAAUUGACGUUACCGACAGAAGAAGCACCGGCUAACUCCGUGCCAGCAGCCGCGGUAAUACGGAGGGUGCAAGCGUUAAUCGGAAUUACUGGGCGUAAAGCGCACGCAGGCGGUUGAUUGAGUCAGAUGUGAAAUCCCCGGGCUUAACCCGGGAAUUGCAUCUGAUACUGGUCAGCUAGAGUCUUGUAGAGGGGGGUAGAAUUCCAUGUGUAGCGGUGAAAUGCGUAGGGAUGUGGAGGAAUACCGGUGGCGAAGGCGGCCCCCUGGACAAAGACUGACGCUCAGGUGCGAAAGCGUGGGGAGCAAACAGG